UUCCCCGCUCCGCCCCGCCCCGCCGGCAGCACCAGCGCCGUCGGUGCCGCGGGGAGGGCGGAGAGCGCCCGGCGGAGAGGAGCGGCGAAUCGGGAGGACGCGGCGUUGGUGGGACGAGGGCCUGAUCCUGCGGGCACCGGCGGAGGACGGAGCAGCCCUCUCCCGCCUCGCUGGCCCCAGGAGCUGCUGCUCGAUGGACAGAGGCGUGCUGGUGGGACCGCGUUUACAACAUGCUCUUGGCACUUCGGCUGUCCCCACCGUGCUGAACCGCAAACACACAACACAACUGUGCACAACAGCACAGUUGUGAAGCUGUCUGUGCUGUGCUGGGGACAAGUGGGACAACUUGUUAAAAGCAGAUGUGGUUUUGUAUUUAGAAAUGAACUUACCUUGGCAGGAAACACCUAGUCAGGCGGGCAAAGAGACUGCUUAGCCCUCUCAUGCAAGGUUUCUUCAGAAGUAAAGAAGCACAAAAGGAGACGUUCUGCUCUUUGAAAACAACUGGAACCACUAGCAAGAAGCAGCAACACCGUGCACUGAACAAGGAAACCUUUUCCAGGUUAUCAAAACAUGCUGUCGAACUGAAUUUUGCAGCUGCAUUUUCAAAUGUACCAUGGGAUGCAUCAAAUCCAAGGAUGCCUUUCAAGGUUCAAAUGCUAUCCAGGAUGAACGGAUCCGGGAAGGUAAUGAAGGGUGCACUGGGGAGAAAUCAUCACUGAUAGCAGUGAAGGUGGAUGAGAAAGGUCCAUCAAGCACUAUAGUGCUAGACUAUGCACACCGUCUCUCCCGUGAGAUCCUUGAUCAGGCGGUGAAACAGUGGGCAGUGACUGAAAGCAAGUACAGCGACAUCCCUUUUAUUGAAAGUGAUGUGCCCUGAUCCCUGACUGGUAAAGACUGUCUUCACCAUGAGUGUCCUGUCUGUGAAGCAGUUUGUAUUUGGUACUAGUGCAAAUAAAGUAAAAUCAGCUGUGAUUUGAGCAUAAUGCCACUAUAUGAAUGUGUUUGCAAGAAGAGGCUGAAAAAAAUUGCCUUUUCAUCUAUAUUGCUAAGAAACUAAUUGGAUUACAGUAGAAUCUACUAAUCAAGUGUCAUUUGUCAUCAGCCGUAUGUUGAGUAUAUUCUGUCUUUGUAUGUGUUGAAUGUGAUCAGAAAUAGUGUUAAAGAGGAUGAGAAAAGUGUGGCUGCCCUGCAACUGUACAAGCACUGCGUCAGAGGGCCCAAAGAUGCUUAACAACAAAAGGUGGAUUAUUUUUAUGUACUGCAUAAAAAAUCAGUGGCCUGUUUGUAGGUGAAAAGAGGAGAACUCUCUAUGCUUGGUAAAUUUGUCUGCAUUUUGCUGAAGUGAAACCAAGGUCUGCAUGUAGCAAAGAUGACCGCUGUCCGUAAAUUUUACCUUAAUUCUUUGACCUGGCUAAAUCUGUAAACCACAAAAUAAUGAAGGUGAUAAGAAGCAUUUUAUAAACCCCAGCAGUAUUCAGGGAACCAUAUGGAUUAUGAUACUAAUCAACUUCCGUUCUUCAGUGAAACAGUGAGGAACAUUACAAUGUUGACAAACAGUGUGUGAUAAUUAACAGAUGCUCUGGCUUCCAUAAAUGCAUGAAGGCUAUUCUCUAAAAUCCUGCGGUAAGGUAAUGACAUCUGAUCACUGUGUUCAGACCAAAGCUGUUUGGAUUUUUGGUUUGGAGUUUGUUUUGUUUUUAUGUUAGGGUGCUGUUUUUUUAGGGGGGAUUGGUUUUGGUUUUUUACUGUAACCCAGACAGGUGUGCAAAAACAACUGAUGCAAACUAGUGAAACAAAAUAGCGUGACAGCGUUUUAAGACUGUUUGUUUCAUGGGAACUAUGGCUGCAUUACACUAAAAUUUCACAUGAAAGUAACGACCUUGGGACAGUACCUUCCUUCAGCUUCUGUAGGCUCAUCCUUACCUGUUGGUAAAACUGCAUAUGGUGAUGCAGAUUUGAGCUACAGAAACCUAAAGCCUGAGCAGUGCACUGAAUUAGUAAAUAAGCCUUAGGCCCAAAGCUUAAGGGGCUCAAUUCUUUACCAAUUUUAUGUAGCCUGCCUCCACACACCGCACUCUGCUUCUCCAGGACUUGCAGCCUGACCUACAGUACUUGUAACUAGCAUUUAAAAUAUGAAGAAAGAGAGGCAUUAAUCACAGUCAUCUUAAAGCUACGGUUUUGCUGUCAUUUUAUACAAAGUGAAUGCCUUGUAAAAGCUUGGGGUUUUAGUACCAGUUUGCUCCUUUUUCUGUUAUGGCCAGUUUAAAAGACAGGCUUUAUUUUCUAGAUCAAACUGUUUUCCAUUUUAUGUUUUUGUUUUAUAGAAAAAUGCUUUCCAUACUGGCAAAAACUGUUACUAUUUUUAAAACAUACACAUAGUUCUAGUAAAUUAUAUAAAGCAUGAUUUCUCAAGCAAUGGGAAGCAAAUAGAAAGAGGACCAUGUACAUUGUUAUUUUUAGACUGUCUUAAGUCUGAGAAUAAGCUAUGAAUUGAGCUGUUUUGAAAACUCUGCAACACAAACUUAGUGACUUUAAAUCUACCUGUAUGGGGAAGUGGUUUUAUCAAGAGUAAAGGGUUAAAAAUGGUUCUUUGUAACACAGCACAAGACUGCCAUUAAUUCACAGUGACCAGACUAGACUCUGCUAUUAUGACUCUUCUCAGGCUUUUGCUGAAAAGGGGAACAAAAUCUGCUUAUGUUGCAUUGUUUUCUUGUUUGAAGUAAUGAAUCUUUGAAGCCAUAUGUAAAGUAGGACCAAGGCCCACUUCAAUUCUACUGCUAACAGUGAUGUACCUUGAAGCUCUAAAGCAUUUAAAACAUAAGACCAUACCCUACAUUUGCUCAGUCUAAAGAAACCUCCAUGCCAUAUACUAGGAUGAUUUAAAAACAAAACUAAAACAUUGAUCAGAUCAGCACAUGUAAUAAUUUGAUAUUGCUUAACCACAGUAUUAAAAAAGAUUCCUAUUCUUCUUAUAGCUAAAAUAAAGCUUUUACAAAAAAGGUGAACCUUUCUGUAACAUUAGUCUUGACUCAAAGAUAUUAACACUGCCAAAGUCAGUAAUUAAA